CUACAAAUGAAUUGACGGGGACCCGCACAAGCAGCGGAGCGUGUGGUUUAAUUCGUUGCUACACGAAGAACCUUACCUGGGUUUGACAUAUAGGUUGUAGGGAACUGAAAAGGGACCGACCCUUCGGGGAGCCUAUACAGGUGUUGCAUGGCUGUCGUCAGCUCGUGUCGUGAGAUGUUCGGUUAAGUCCGCUAACGAGCGCAACCCUCGUCGUAUGUUAUAUGUGUCAUACGAGACUGCCGGUAAAAGCCGGAGGAAGGUGAGGAUGAUGUCAAGUCAGCAUGACCUUUAUAUCCAGGGCUACACACACGCUACAAUGGUCUGUACAAUGGGUAGCCAAGCCGCGAGGCGGAGCCAAUCCUGAAAGCAGGCCUCAGUUCAGAUUGCAGUCUGCAACUCGACUGCAUGAAGCCGGAGUUGCUAGUAACCGCAGGUCAGCAAUACUGCGGUGAAUACGUUCCCGGGCCUU
rnacentral:rRNA from 1 species